rnacentral:lncRNA from 10 species
CCCAACCUGUGCGCUGGGGCUUCAGAUAGGAGUCAGACAGAAGCUCCCUGUGUGAUGGUGUGCUCCGGGAAAGCCAUCUGAAAAACCAGAUGUUCCCAGAUGCUGUGGCCCUGAAGCAGGGACCAUGUGCUUUGUGGCUGCCGUGUCCCCAUCCCCCGGCACAUGGCAGGUGCUUGAUAAGCACUGUGCUGAGUGCAUGGGGCAACCAGAAACAGGGGAGCUUGCUGGUCCCCAGCACUCCUGCAACAGGGCUCUGAUCAGGGUGGCUCUCUGAUGUCAACUGCACAUUUUUUUUAAACUGUUGUGAGAAUCUGCAGUAAUCACUUGGUUCGGCACUAAUCCUGAGUUAAUGAGGCCACACUGGUUCUUUGGUGUUAAUAUUCUCUGAAGUUCAGCUCUGAGGAAAAUGAAAAGAAAGACCGCCCCACCACUUACCCAUCACCAAAGAAAGACACAAGUGAGCAUCCUAGAAUUUGGGACGCAUCAAAAUCAAAGAAAAAAGCAGAACCUGCCCCGAUGUUUGGCGCAAGCAGCCUCUGAGGGCCAGCCGUGCUCCGAGCGUUUGUUGUGCAGGGGCACAGCCCUCCAGAUGUUCCCUGGAAGGACUGCCACUUCAAACACCAGGGCUCAAGCCCAUUACCUGUGCAGCCUUUGUGUAUUUCAAAGGGGAAGCCAGUUGAACUUUCCCUGUAAUCAUUGGGCCCCAACUUGCCUUUAAUGGACCAUCAGGGAACACAGCAAGGAGAAGUCCCCAAUCAUUACCAGGUUCUGAUGGCCUCAGAGCCCACCUGGAGAGGCCCCCGGGGCAGCCACCUGUGGGUCUUGCCACGCCUGCUCCAGGGAAGGCUAGGACUCCAUCCAACCGAGCGCUGGACCGGGAGUCAGAAGCCACGACUUUGAGGGCCUAGGCUGCCUGGCCCCCCUUCCCCACUCCCUGUAUGUGAACCCCACCUCUGCCGCUUGCUUGCUGUGAGACCUUGGGCAGGUACCCUCACCUUGCUGAGUCCCCGUUUUGCAAUUGGCUGUGGAGGAUAAAAACAGAACCUACCUCUCGGGUUUGCUCCGAAGCAUAGGCAUUUUGUA